rnacentral:rRNA from 1 species
AAAAAGGUACAUAAGGGCAAUAAUAGUGGAUGCCUUGACAAUCAAUACCGAUGAAGGACGUAGGACUCUGCGAUAAGCCUCGGGGAGCUGAGAACAAGCUUUAAUCCGGGGAUUUCCGAAUGGGGAAACCUAAUAUGGGUCAUGCCAUAUUGUCAUUAUCUGAACACAUAGGAUAAUUGAACGGGAACCAGCCGAACUGAAUCAUCUUAGUAGGUUGAGGAAAAGAGAAUAACCAAUGAUUCCGAAAGUAGUGGCGAGCGAAAUUGGAUCAGCCCAAACCUUAAGAUAACCUAACGGUUUAACGGCCUGAGUUAUUAAAGGGGUUGCGAAAUUAGAUAAUUUUCAAGUUGAGAUUUUCGUUUUCGGAGAUUUCAACUUGAGAACCAUCAUCGUUAAAUGAAUGGAUAAUGUUAAAAAACUUAGAUCGUAGCGGAAGCGUUUGAAUGGCGCGCCAAAGAGGGUGAAAGCCCCGUAUGCGAAACGGUCUUUGUCAUUAUAUAUCUUUUUUCAAGUAGGACGGGGCACGAGAAACCCUGUUUGAAUCCG